AUUGAACGCUGGCGGCAGGCCUAACACAUGCAAGUCGAGCGAGCGGGGGGCGGGGGAGUAAUGUCUGGGAAACAGCCUGAUGGAGGGGGAGAACUACUGGAAACGGUAGCUAAUACCGCAUACCCUCAGAUGUGCCCAGAUGGGAUUAGCUGGUAGGUGGGGUAACGGCUCACCUAGGCGCCGAUCCCUAGCUGGUCUGAGAGGAUGACCAGCCACACUGGAACUGAGACACGGUCCAGACUCCUACGGGAGGCAGCAGUGGGGAAUAUUGCACAAUGGGCGCAAGCCUGAUGCAGCCAUGCCGCGUGUGUGAAGAAGGCCUUCGGGUUGUAAAGCACUUUCAGCGGGGAGGCGUUACCCGCAGAAGAAGCACCGGCUAACUCCGUGCCAGCCGCCGCGGUAAUAC
rnacentral:rRNA from 1 species